GAGAUGGGUCAGGGAGACAGAAGUAAACUGCCCGUGGAUAAACAAAAUCUCCCAUCCGAGGUCGCAGACAGGAUUUUUAAAAUGGGGGCAUUUUCUUGUUGAUUUUUGCCCUCCUCUCUGAGAUGCCUCAAGCCCCCACGCCCCGCCGCCGCCAAACUUCUCUGUACUCUUUUUAUUAUUUUGCCUUAUUUUGAUUCCCUAGAGGACGGGUACAGCAGACCCAAAAGGGAUCGAUUUGACAGUCGCCUUUGCUGUGUUAGGCCUUUGCGGAGAGUGUGGUGCUCAGUGUUCUUCCAGCGCUGGAGCAAGCCAAAACGAAUUCUCUUCCUUCCCAGCCUUUUGCCCCACCCAUGAAAGUUGUUCUGCUCCUUUGGGAAAUUUUCACUGUUCGAGGCAGACAUUUAUUGCGUUGCUAAAUGAUACCUAGAAGUAACUCAGCCUUUACGAGUCUAAGUGUAAGAGACUUAAAUGAAUAUGACUGUCACACAAAAAAGGUGUGUCCUACUUCAACACUCAACAUUCAAGAAAUAUUUGUCAAAGACCUGCUGUAAGCCAGGUGGUUGCUGUAUAUGGAACUUUAUCUGAUUUGCUUUCUGUGGCCAGCAGUAAACUCGGCAUAAAAGCCACCAGUGUGUAUAAUGGGAAAGGUGGACUGAUUGAUGAUAUUGCUUUGAUGGGAUGAUGAUGUUUUGUUUGUUUGUGAAGGAGAGCCAUUUAUUGAUCCUCAGACAGAUUCUAAGCCUCCUGAGGGAUUGUUAGGAUUCCACACAGACUGGCUGACAUUAAAUGUUGGAGGGCGGUACUUUACAACUACACGGAGCACUUUAGUGAAUAAAGAACCUGACAGUAUGCUGGCCCACAUGUUUAAGGAC
rnacentral:lncRNA from 10 species